UUAGGAACCUGACAAGACUGACUAGCCAUCAGGACCAAUGUAAGGGAGGAGGGUUUAUUUCAGCUCCCUGUUUCAGAGGUUUCAGAGCUGUUCAGCUCACAGCAGCCUGGAAGCAGAGCAAAGACAGGAAGAGGCAGAGCAAGGGUUCUUCUAAGACACUCUCCAAGGGACCUACAUCCUCCAAUCAGAACCCACCUGACAGUUUCCCACAUGUUCAUAGUUUGAAUCUGUGACAGCAUCAAGCAUUUGUAAGGCCAGAGGCCUCAUGGUCUUUCUGGACAAGGUUACAAAGGGGCACCUAAAUGAAGGGUCACAUAGAACACAGUCCACAGAAACACCAAGCAGACACGCUCCUGACACAGGGUUG
rnacentral:lncRNA from 1 species